UUUCGUUAUCGUGUCGACCCGAACACCUGUUAAUUUCGUAUCGUGUCGUGUCGGGUUAUCGGGUCGUGUCAGGAAUUGCCAGGCAUAGUCUCCAUUAUGUUAUUUCCCCUUUUCCUUUCUGCUGUGCUAUCCUUGCUGUUCCUGCUUCUUGUAUUCUUUUUUUUUUGGUUCUUCUACUCCUCUCUGUCUGCCCGCUCUGUCUUUCCACCCCAUUGUCCCUGUCCCGUGUGCCUUUCUUCAUCUUUUCUUAUCUUUUUAAUUCUUUCUUUUUUUUUUCUUUUCCUUCCACUUUUCUUGUCUGCCAUCUUUUGCUUUAAACAAUAAGGCAAUGAUCCUUUCAAAACAUCACCCCGUGGAGACAAGCUCCACUUCCAUUUCUCUUAUUUGUUUUUAUUAAUUCCUUUUCUCCAUUUUGCUUGAAAGUGAUCAUAAAAUAAAUUUAACUGCACAUUAAUACAAGAUAAGGUAAAAUGCCACAAUUUUAACACAAAAACAUCACAAAGACUUUAGAAAUUGAUGGUAUAAAUGCAUGAAAUAUAUAAGUGAUCAGCAUGGUCUUCCCAGCGCCAUAAGAGCCCCGCAACUAAAGUCACCGAUUUUCUUCCCUUUGAAAAUAUAGUUGUACACGUCGAAUGCGUACUUUAUGUUGAAAUGUUUUUUGCACUCAACCACUGCCGGCGAGUCAUCCAAAUGCGCCAAUGUUGGAAGUGCGCAAUUUGCCAAAAGUAAAAUGACCAUAAUUGGAAACAUGUUUAGUCCGGCCAUAAUAAUGGAAAUAAUGAGUAACUUUUGAAUUUCUUAGAAAAUAAUCCCUUAAAUGCAGUUGAACUUUGGUGCAAGGAGUUCUACACUUAUAAGGGAAAAGGCAAAGGUGAGAGUCAUUCGUAAAAUGAAAAACGCAUUUUCCUUUAAAACUACUUUAGCAACGUAUUUACUGAUGUGAGGUAUCAAAUACAAGGGUUUCUAAUUUGGUAUUUAUCUUUGUACCAUAAAUGCAACUUACAAGUUCCCUUAAAAUGUUUAAUCAAUCUUAACAAUCACAUAACUAUUUAUUAUUUUGCACAAAUAUUACUUGUUUGCAAAUUAAAUUAAUUCACUGUCUAGUUUAUUACAAUAGAGUUGCAAAAACCAUGAACUGAACUUACAUAUCGUGUUAGUAACUAUCAUUG
rnacentral:lncRNA from 1 species